rnacentral:tRNA from 1 species
GGGACAUUAGCUCAGUCGGUAGAGCAUCUGACUUUUAAUUAGGUGGUCGUGCGUUCGAGUCGCACAUGUCCCA